CAAACCCAUAACGCCCCAGCACGUGAAUUCCGAGAGAAAAACAUAAGCAAGGUGAAGACAAAGACUGAAUUCAGCGUGUUCAAGCAGAGUGAAUUUCCAGAGAUAUAUAUAUGAGCAGAAAGAGACUCCAUUGAGAAUAACAGAUGAGGACACAGAUUUCAAAAUUAAACCACAAGCCAGCACACUACACAAAAUCUUCUCAGCAAACAACCAUCAAAGGUCAAAACACACAAAAUUUAGAAAGAGAACCCACAAACAUGCAAAGCCAAAACUGAGCUGAAAAGCUCAAACUAUAAUUUUUCCCAGACAAAAUGUUAAAUUUUGCUCAUAAUAAAUCCCAACUUCCUAAUAUCAUGAGACUCAACAAACAAAAACGCUUUCUCUUGUUAUUUGUUCACGGGUUUUCUGAUAUUCAAACCUGCAAUUCUGCGAUCCAGAAAG
rnacentral:misc_RNA from 1 species